rnacentral:lncRNA from 1 species
UUGUUGUUAAAAUGUUAACUCGCAAUUGUACGGGCCAAUUAGUAGUAUAGCAAGACAAGUACGAGGUCGUACCCACGAGGACUGAGAAGUUAAAAUUAGUUAUGUACUUAGAUUACCAAAUUCAAGAAAGUAGGAGGUUAAGUCUAAAAUAGAAUUUAAAGCAAGAGUGAUUGUAAUUGUUGAACAAAUGAGGCAAAACGAAAUUUCAAACAAAAGCAAAGUGAACAAAUGUAACAAAGAGUACUUUUGUAGGCUGGAAAACAGAUUGGGAGACUAGGGCAUUCGAUUCACCAUAAAAAUUCAAUUCUGGGUUAUAAGGAGUCAAGUGACAAGUCUCAUUCGAAUUCAAAGAUUGAUUCUAGCUAAAGUAUGAUUAGGCCAUGGUGUUUGGUCCUAACCCUGUGCUCCUAAUUCCCUAACUUGAUCAUUUGUUGUCUAAUCUAAAUUAAGCAUUAGGAACCCAUUAAGCAUAGAAGAACAAUUUAAACAACCAAGCAUGUAUCUAAUCCCUGUUGUCGAAUGUCCAUACAUACUUUUCUUAUUCAUAGUUCAAUUCAAAUCAAAGCAUGGUGUCUACUCUUGAUUCAAACCAAGGUAGCUAAUAUACAAGUUCUAAUGGUGAUCAAUCAUCCAAACAAGCAUAUUAACUGAUAAGCAUAAAGAAUAGGAAUAUGAAUCAUGAAUCAAACUUGAAACUCAAAACUUCAACUUAUAAACCCAGAAUAUUCAUGUUAGGUUACAUCAUAGCCCUAGUUAUGAAUUUAGCUACUCAUAAUGGAAAUGGAACUUAAGCAAAAAUGAGAAAACAUAUUGAAUGCAAUAAGAGUAGAGAAACCCAAUUCUGAAGUUGCUUGUGGUUUCCAAGGCUUCUCCAGGUGCUUCUCCACAUCUAAUGCUACUCCAAGAACUUUCUCAUGUCUAGAGUAUGGCAACUAAAGAGGUGAUUUGGGAUGAGUUUGGGUGGUUGGUGAUGGCAGAGAAAGAACAAAUUCGUAGGAAAUGGAAGGAAGGCUUGUUGGAGUUGUUCCUAGGACAGCUCCAAGGUCCCUUGACAGCUCCAAGCUCCCUUCUCUCUUUGUGGUGAAUCUGAAUGUGUGUAUGAGAGUAAUGGAUGAAGUGAAUGUGUGUGUCUACCCUCCUUUCUUGAAUGAGUGUGCAACUCUCUAUUUAUAGAGUGCAAUUUCGUGCUCCCCUUUGGCUGGUGAAACACACCUCUCUUAGCUGCUCCCAAUUGCCUAAGCUGCCCAAUAAAUGCCAACUCUUCCAGCUGCCCAAUAAAUGCUUUGGUGGAAUUUUCUUGGUUUCUUUAUGGAAAGCUUGACUUUUAUUCAUCUUUUUGACUUCCCAUACUGAUUUGUCUCCCAUGUGUAGCCUACCAGAAUUCCUGGCAAAUGGUCCUUGAUUUGUGCAGACAAGAUCCCCAUAAUUAAGCAUGCCAUGUUUUGCUCCUUUAUGACUUCCAUAGCUGAAAUGCCUCCCUAAUUUGUUCAACAUGUCAGGUCCAAAGUCAAAUAAUGCUCAAGUGAGGCACAUGGCUCAAGGGAGGUGUGGAGCACAAGGCUCACCAGUUGGCAGCUACAUAUUAAAAUCCUCCUAGAGCAUGGUUCAGUGUUUGACAGGCUAAGGACUCUAGCUAUCAUUAAUUGGGCUGAUAUGUGGAUAUGUUAUACUAGACACCUAUUGGAACAACUUCUGUGAAGCAUGUCUCCUCAUCCAAGCAGUGUAGGUUGCUGAAAUGAGGCCUGCAAGAUGACCCACGAAUUUGGACUGACAAGGAGUGUGGCCCAAAUUGGUUCUGUCAUUAAGCUCAUAUUCCUCUUGUGCCAAUCAACCCUUAACAUGCAUGAAUUGUAUCAAAUGUGAUCCCCUUGCUGUCCUAACCUACAAAACACACAAACAUAGGUAAGAGACUCAAAAUAAAAAGAAACUAAACAAAAUUACUAAGCAAAGAAGGCAUGCAAAUGUGUGAAAUUAUGACCUUAUCAUACCCCCAGACCUAGAUUUUGCUAGUCCUCGAGCAAAACAAAAGAGAAUAAAGUUGAAAACAAAACAAGAAGUUAACUAAACCACUUCUGUAGGUAACUUGAUUGCAAUGUGCAUAUGCAACAAGUCUUUAAACCUCUCGGCAUCCCUAAUCGGAAGAGUUGUGUCUCCUGAGGGUUUAACAGAAACGAUACCCACAAACGCUUUACUGACUCUCUAACACCAAAAGGUUAGAAAACUAACUUUGAAAACAACUAAUGAAAGAAAACUUUAAUCAUGCAUCCAACACCAUAGAGUUACCAAGAUAGAUGAUCAAUAAGUGUGUAAAUUGGAAGCUAUAGCUCAAAGGCACACGGCUUCAAAGUAAACAGACUCAAAUCUUGAAGGAAGAACAUGCUUCAACUCUAAUUCUCACAUCUAGCACUCAAUCACUCAGAACCUAUGGUUUUAUUCUCUCAAACAAGCAUAAGUGAGUAUAUGAAAUACAAGCACAAUAUUUGGUUAGAUCUCAUGAAGGGAAUCAAAUACUAAGAGUAGAGAUACACACAUACAUACCAGCACCCAUGAAUACAUCCUCAAAGAUCAGCUAGGUCUUUCACAAGGUUGUAAUGAAAGGCUAAGGUUAAGGGAAGUGGAAGAAUUGGAAGGAACACAACUAACUUAAGAACAUACCAAGGUUGCAUUCUUCAUUGAUCUGCAAGGUAUCAUUGAUUUAGAAUGGUAUGGCUGCAACUUCAUAGCAUCAUCUGGCAUAGACUUUAUAUUUCACAUUUAGAUCAAAUCGAAACACUUUCUCUUUAUCUUUCUUUUUUUCUUUUUUUUUUGACUUGAUCUACUUCUUCUUUAACUUUAUUGCAUAGAUUCACACCAAUUUACAUUUGGGCAUGUGGCAGCAACCUCCUUGCUUCAAACUUUAUCUUCGCACACCUUGGUAUAUUUCUAAGCUAUAGGGUAUGGCUAUAAUAGGUUAAAUAUCUCUGAUUGAGAUACAAAGUUAGGGGAAUUAUGAGGGUGAUAGAAGAAAAAGGCUUGUAGUGUUUGGCUGCAAGAGAGCUGAUGGAACACACGAAUGGGUAGGGUGAAAAGAAAGCACAGAAAAUGGUUAUACACGCAGAGCCUAGCAUCACUUCAAUGAGUUCAUUCAUGGGUGAGAGCACGCACCUGAUAUCUGCAAAGAGAAUCAUCCUUAGUAUUCAAUCAAAAUGGAACAAUGAGAUCAUUUAGAGUGAAUUGAAGAAAAUAAGUAGAGAUGAGGAAUAGAAACACUUUAAACCCUCUCAAGAAAGCAAUUAGGCUCGAAAUAGCUCACUAGGGUAGUCUCCACUAUUCUCCUUCAAGAAUCUGAGCAUGAUACUUUAGUCACCAGAAUUCUAAGAGCAAAAGCUUUGUGAAGUGUAAAAUUUCUGAUAUGAAAAUCUCAAUGGCAGCUCCAUAGCAUUGGUUGUAUGAAAUUUUUUUUAUAAAAAAAAAAAUAGUGACAAGCGAACGAAAAUUGUAAACACAAAUGAACAAAAAUUGAAAACCUCCCCCCCAGACCUGAAUUGAACAUUGUCCUCAAUGUUAAAGCAUAACAAAGAUGAGUGAGAACAUGUGAAUAAUAAGGGGAAAGUUUAAGACAAAGUAUUAGAGAAACUCCCUCUUGAUGCGAUUAGGUCGACCGCUACCGAGCACCUUAUUCUUCAACACAUGGGUUGCCUCCCAAGAAGCGCCUUAGUUAAUGUCUUGGCAAGACAUUAUGCCAUUAGCUAACUUGAUUGUACGAAGGGAAGAUGAUCCACCACAUGACCAGUUUGAAUUCCAACUGACACUCCCUCAUAGAAUGGCUUUAAACGUUGUCCAUUUACUUUGAAAGUCGAGCCAUCUUUAGGAUUUUGAAUCUCCACAGCUCCAUAGGGAGAUACAUUGACCACGGUGAAUGGGCCAAGCCACCUAGACUUCAAUUUUCCUGGAAAGAGACGCAAACGUGAGUUAAACAAAAGAACUGACAUACCUUUGGUGAAUUCUUUCCGUUGAAUGUUCCUGUCAUGGUAACUCUUGGUACGUUCUUUGUAUAGCUUUGCAUUCUCAUAGGACUCAUAUCGAAUUUCUUCCAAUUCAUUGAGCUGAAACUUUCUAACAUGGCCGGCCUUGUCCAGAUCAAAAUUCAACUUCUUGAUGGCCCAAAAAGCAUUGUGUUCAAGCUCCAUUGGCAAGUGACAGGCUUUUCCAAACACAAGACGAUAAGGGCUCAUUCCGAUGGGAGUCUUAUAUGCAGUCCUAUAAGCCCAUAAUGCAUCAUUGAGCUUGGCAGCCCAAUCUUUCCUUGUACUAUUCACCACUUUCUCUAGGAUCUGCUUAAUUUCUCUGUUGCUUAUUUCUACUUGACUAGAAGUUUGAGGAUGAUAUGGUGUAGAGACUCGGUGGGUGAUAUUGUACUUCUUCAUGAGUGCUUCAAAUAGCUUGUUGCAGAAGUGGCUGCCUCCAUCACUAAUGACAGCCCUUGGAGUACCAAACCUUGUGAAAAUAUUGUCCCUCAAGAACUUCAGGACCACCUUAUGAUCAUUGGUUUUGGUGGCUAUGGCUUUCACCCAUUUAGACACAUAAUCAACAGCAACAAGUAUGUAGGUAUAACCAAAGGAAGAUGGGAAUGGUCCCAUGAAAUCAAUACCCCAUACAUCGAAGAGUUCCACAAAGAGUAUGUUCUUCAAUGGCAGUUCGUUCCUGCGGCUUAUGUUUCCCAUCCUUUGACACCUAUCACACUUAACACAAAAAUUAAAUGCAUCUUUGAAUAGAGUAGGCCAAAAGAAACCUGAUUGCAAAAUUUUAAGUGCUGUUUUCUUGGCUCCAAAGUGGCCUCCACAAGCCAAUUCGUGGCUAUGCCUAAGGAUGCUUUCUUGUUCUUCUUCUGGAACACAUCUUCUAAUGAGUUGAUCUGGGCAAUGCUUGAAUAAGAAAGGUUCAUCCCAGACAUAAUGUUUCACCAUGGAAAAGAACUUCUUUUUGUCCUGAUAAGUUAGAUCAUUUCUAAGAACACCACAAGCAAGAUAAUUAACAAAAUCAGCAUACCAUGGCUCUUUGACUUGGGCAACAUAUAGUUGUUCAUCUGGGAAAGUCUCAUUCAAUGGUAGUACAGCUUCUCCUUGCUCUUCAACCACAAUUCUGCUCAAAUGGUCAGCCACCACAUUUUCACAUCCCUUCUUGUCUCGAAUCUCCAAAUCGAACUCUUGCAGCAAGAGAAUCCAUCUGAUCAAGCGAGGUUUGGCGUCCUUCUUAGCGAGCAAGUAUCUAAGAGCAGCAUGGUAAGAAUAAACAAUUACUUUAGAACCAACAAGGUAAGGGCGAAAUUUUUCUAAAGCAAAAACCACAGCAAGCAACUCCUUUUCGGUUGUGGAGUAAUUGAGUUGGGCAUUAUUCAAGGUCCGGCUCGCAUAAUGAAUCACAUGGGGAAGCUUGUUCUUCUUUUGACCUAAAACUGCACCAAUAGCAAAGUCAGAGGCAUCACACAUUAUUUCAAAUGGUAAAGACCAAUCUGGAGCUAUGAUAAUAGGGGCUGAAGUUAGCUCUUUCUUCAAAGUCGUAAAGGCUUCCAUGCAAAUCUCGUCAAACUCAAAAACAGCAUCCUUAGCAAGGAGAUUACACAAUGGUCUUGAAAUGCUUGAAAAAAAUUUUAUGAACCUUCUAUAGAAUCCGGCAUGGCCCAGAAAGCUUCUAACUCCUUUAACAGAGGAAGGGGGUGGUAGAUUUGUGAUGAUAUUUAUCUUGGCUUGUCCACUUGAAUUCCCUUGUUUGAAACAACAUGGCCUAGCACAAUUCCUUGUCUUACCAUGAAGUGACACUUCUCCCAAUUCAAAAUCAGAUUUGUUUCCUGACAUCUUGUAAGCACUAGAGACAAGUGGUGAAGACAAUCAUCAAAAGAUGAACCAAAAACUGAAAAAUCAUCCAUAAAUACCUCCAUGAAUCGUUCCACCAUAUCAGAAAAGAUUGCCAUCAUGCAUCUUUGGAAAGUUGCUGGAGCAUUGCACAAACCAAAUGGCAUCCUUCUAUAAGCAAAUGUACCAAAUGGGCAUGUGAACGUGGUUUUCUCCUGGUCUUCCGGAGCAAUGGGAAUUUGAUUAUAACCUGAAAAUCCAUCAAGAAAACAGUAGUAAGCAUGGCCAGAUAAACGGUCAAGCAUUUGAUCAAUAAAAGGCAAGGGAAAAUGAUCUUUUCUCGUGGAUGUGUUCAACUUCCUGUAAUCAAUGCAAACUCUCCAACCAGUGAUAGUGUGUGUUGGAACUAGCUCAUUCUUCUCAUUCUUUACAACGGUGAUUCCGGACUUCUUUGGAACCACUUGCACAGGACUCACCCACUUAGAAUCUGAAAUUGGGUAGAUGAUUCCCACAUCAAGUAGCUUUAAAACUUCAGCCCUAACCACCUCUUUCAUAUUGGGAUUUAGCCUCCUUUGUGCAUCACGAGAUGGUUUGCUGUCUUCUUCCAUUAAAAUUCGGUGCAUGCACAUGCUUGGACUAAUUCCUUUGAUGUCUGCUAUGGUCCAUCCAAGGGCUGUUUCAUGUUCUUUCAGAACUUCAAUUAACCUGUCCUCUUCAUGUGAAGUGAGACUUGCAGCAAUUAUAACAGGGAGAGUUUCAUUAGCACCCAAAUAAGUAUAUUUAAGAUGAUUGGGUAGAGGUUUAAGUUCUAGCUUUGGUGGGGUGAUAAUGGAUGGCUCCAAUUUUGUGGAGGAUGACACAAGAGGCUCAAGUGGUGGCCUAAAGGAUGGUGGGUAUGGCUGAAACACUUCUAAGGCAGCCAUCACUUCUUGGAACUCUGAUUCAAAGAGAUCUUCCUCUUCUUGUGUUAGGACCGCUUCCAAAGCAUCAUUAGACUUUUUCUGCACAAUUUUAGAAGAAACCUCAUGAUCCACAACAUCAAUUGAAAAACAAGUAUCAAGAGUGAUAGAAGGUUGAGACAGAGCAUCAAACACUUUAAAUUCAACAGUUUCACCCAAAACAGUCAUGGAGAGGGUGCCAUCUUUCACUUUGAUGAUUGUGUCUGCAGUGGCCAUGAAUGGUCGCCCGAGGAGAAUGGGAUCAACACGGUCUUCAUAUGGGNNNNNNNNNNNNNNNNNNNNNNNNNNNNNNNNNNNNNNNNNNNNNNNNNNNNNNNNNNNNNNNNNNNNNNNNNNNNNNNNNNNNNNNNNNNNNNNNNNNNGAAUGAGUGUAUUAACUUGAACUAAAAUAUCUUCUACAAUACCUUUUGGAUAUUUGAUAGAAUGAUCAGCUAGUUCAAGACGAAUUGAGGUUUUCUUUAUCCCUUCUAAGCCAAGCGCCUGAUAAACUGAAUAUGGCAUUACAUUGAUGCUUGCUCCCAAGUCCAACAUGGCUCUUCCAACCGUCUUAUCUCCGAUGUUAAUGGGAAUGUUAAAGCUGCCAGGAUCUUCUAGUUUUGGUGGAAGCUUCCUUUGCAACACAGCACUCACAUUCUUGUUGAGCUUUACUUCUUCACUUGGAGUAAAAUUGAGCUUGUGAGUCAUCAAGUGCUUGAUGAACUUUCCAUAUGCAGGAAUCUGUUUAAAAACAUCAAGCAAGGGCAAAUUGAUAUUAACUUUACUCAAAAUAUCAUAAAUCUCUUUAAAAGCCUUAUCUUGAUUUGCUUUCUUCAAUCGGCCUGGAAAUGGAAUCGGUGGAAUAUAUGGAGGAGGUGGGAUGUAUCUAUCUUGAUGAAGAUGUGAUGGCACAAAUUUGUCAUCUCUUUUAUGCAAUUGAAAUGGAUUGGGUUCCUGAGAAUCAGAUUUGGCCUUAGGAGUAGAUUGGGACGUUUUGGGUUGUUCUCCUUCCAUAGCUGUGGUUUCUUCUUCAUCUUCAUCCUCUACAACCACAACAUCAUUUGAUAGAUCAGAACCAACUUUGUUAUCAACAAUCUUACCUGAUCUGAGCACAUGAACGGCCUUGGCUUCUUGGUUUUUUUGGAUUGAUCACGGUUUGACUUGGCCAUUUCCCAGGUUCUCUUUGAGCUAUUUCAGUAGCUAUCUGGCCCAAUUGGACUUCCAACUUGGAGAUGGCAGCUUGUGUUGUUUGCUGGAAAUUGUUUUGGUUGAUUGCCAUUUGCUUCACUAAAUCCUCCAACGAUGAUGAUUGUUGUGGCCUUUGGAGUGAAGGGGGAUUCGCUUGAUUCUGUGUAUUCCUCCAUGAAAAGUUUGGAUGAUUCCUCCAACCUGGAUUAUAUCUUUGAGAAUAUGGGUCAUUUAUUGGACCUCGGUUGUAGGAAUUCACCAACUUAGCUUGCUCUUGCACAAAUUCUGGAUAUGCAGCCCCAAAGGGACAAGAAAUGGUAGGAUGAUCAUGAGUUUCACAGAUGCUACACACUUCCUUCAAAGGGUCUUGAGUUCAAUGCAAGGAGGGCAUCUAGCUUUUGUUCCAAUUUGGAAAUCUGUACACUAGAAGAAUCAUUAGAACCACCAGCAAUACGUUUACCUCUUGUAUCGGUGUGUUGGGUCUCCAUUGCUAUCUCCUCAAAGAGUUCAUAUGUUUCUUCUGGAGUUUUAGUCUUAUAAGAACCACCUGCAAAAUUAGUGACAAUAUUAUGGCUAGAGGGGGUUAGUCCUUUAUAAAACAUACGCAUCUGAAGCUUCAAUGGAAUCCCAUGAUGAGGGCAUUGAUUGAGCAGCCCGUUGAAUCUCUCCCAUGCUUCACAAAACGACUCAUCAUCUUGUUGUGCAAAUAGAAAGAUCUUGUCCCUAAGCAUGUCGGUUUUUUGCGUGGAGAAAUAUUUCUCCAAGAACUUCUUUUGAAUGGCUCCCCAAGUCAUGAGUGAACCAGGCUUCAAAGAAUUCAACCAAUAUUUCGCCUUAUCUUUCAAAGUGUAAGGAAACACUCUCAUUCGAAGUUGCUCUUCCGUCACACCUGUCAAGGGAAAAGAGCUCACAACAUUAAAAAUAUCCUUUAUAUGAGUUAAUGGAUCUUCAUUAGGUAAACCAUAAAAAGAAAGGAGCAUAUUAAGAUGAGAAGAUUUAAGCUCACAGUUUCGAGCUGCGGUGGGCAGCAAGAUGCUUGAAGGGGAUGCUGGAAUUGUUGGGAUAUCAAGGUCUCCCAUGAACUCAUUGGCAGCCAUCUCUUCUUCUUCUUGGUCUGAACUUGAUUCCGAAUUUGAAGGUGAAGACCCUGGGAGGUCAGUGUGGAUAGCAAGACCUUCACUUGUUCAAGGAAAGGAUUACUAGACAUAAACUACCUGAAACAGAAAAUAAUUUGAGUUAAUUAAUACUUCUAAAAGAAUGGGGUAACCUUGGGCACAUAACCAGGGAAGAACUUUCAUUCAGUCCCCGGCAACGGCGCCAAAAUUAGUUGUUAAAAUGUUAACUCGCAAUUGUACGGGCCAAUUAGUAGUAUAGCAAGACAAGUACGAGGUCGUACCAACGAGGACUGAGAAGUUAAAAUUAGUUAUGUACUUAGAUUACCAAAUUCAAGAAAGUAGGAGGUUAAGUCUAAAAUAGAAUUUAAAGCAAGAGUGAUUGUAAUUGUUGAACAAAUGAGGCAAAACGAAAUUUCAAACAAAAGCAAAGUGAACAAAUGUAAGAAAGAGUACUUUUGUAGGCUGAAAAACAGAUUGGGAGACUAGGGCAUUCGAUUCACCAUAACAAUUCAAUUCUGGGUUAUAAGGAGUCAAGUGACAAGUCUCAUUCGGAUUCAAAGAUUGAUUCUAGCUAAAGUAUGAUUAGGCCAUGGUGUCUGGUCCUAACCUUGUGCUCCUAAUUCCCUAACUUGAUCAUUUGUUGUCUAAUUUAAAUUAAGCAUUAGGAACCCAUUAAGCAUAGAAGAACAAUUUAAACAACCAAGCAUGUAUCUAAUCCCUGUUGUCGAAUGUCCAUACACACUUUUCUUAUUCAUAGUUCAAUUCAAAUCAAAGCAUGGUGUCUACUCUUGAUUCAAACCAAGGUAGCUAAUAUACAAGUUCUAAUGGUGAUCAAUCAUCCAAACAAGCAUAUUAACUGAUAAGCAUAAAGAAUAGGAAUAUGAAUCAUGAAUCAAACUUCAAACUCAAAACUUCAACUUAUAAACCCAGAAUAUUCAUGUUAGGUUACAUCAUAGCCCUAGUUAUGAAUUUAGCUACUCAUAAUGGAAAUGGAACUUAAGCAAAAAUGAGAACACAUAUUGAAUGCAAUAAGAGUAGAGAAACCCAAUUCUGAAGUUGCUUGUGGUUUCCAAGGCUUCUCCAGGUGCUUCUCCACGUCUAAUGCUACUCCAAGCACUUUCUCAUGUCUAGAGUAUGGCAACUAAAGAGGUGAUUUGGGAUGAGUUUGGGUGGUUGGUGAUGGCAGAGAAAGAACAAAUUCGUAGGAAAUGGAAGGAAGCACUUUCUCAUGUCUAGAGUAUGGCAACUAAAGAGGUGAUUUGGGAUGAGUUUGGGUGGUUG